UACGUAGGGACCAAGCGUUGUUCGGAUUUACUGGGCGUAAAGGGCGCGUAGGCGGCUUGUCAAGUCACUUGUGAAAUCUCUGGGCUUAACCCAGAACGGCCAAGUGAUACUGCAGUGCUAGAGUGUGGAAGGGGCAAUCGGAAUUCUUGGUGUAGCGGUGAAAUGCGUAGAUAUCAAGAGGAACACCUGAGGUGAAGACGGGUUGCUGGGCCAACACUGACGCUGAGGCGCGAAAGCCAGGGGAGCAAACGGG
rnacentral:rRNA from 1 species